rnacentral:sRNA from 1 species
CCGGUCCGUCCCGUGGACGCCCCUGACCGUCCCCGGGUGCUCGGGCUACCCUGACGGCGUGCGCCUUCCCCCAGAAGACGCAAAGCCGACAGCCGUCGCACUCCAGGGAGCACCUUCAUG